AGUGGGAUAGCAUCUUCAUCCUAACUCCUAUGAGAUUUAUUCAACUUCCUAGUGAUUCUACACUACUUUAUGUAUCACAAUCAAGCUUCUUACUUCGCGAUUCAUCCUGGUUUGAUAUGAAUGGCCAAGAAGGCGUCAUAUUCCCAAACAUGAAAAUUGGGAUCAUCUGAUUUGAAAGUGGGAUAGCUUCUUCAUCCUAACUCCUAUGAGAUUUAUUGAACUUCCUAGUGAAUCUCCACUACUUUAUGUAUCACGAUCAAGCUUCUUACAUCGCGAUUCAUCUUGGUUUGAUUAGAAUGACAAAGAAAUUGUCAUUUUCUCAAACAGGAAAACUCGUAUUACCUGAUUUGAAAGUGGGAUAUCUUCUUCAUCCUAACUCCUAUGAGAUUUAUUCAACUUCCUAGUGAAUCUCCACUACUUUAUGUAUCAAGAUCAGGCUUCUUACAUUGCGAUUCAUCCUCGUUUGAUUAGAAUGACAUAGAAGUUUUCAUAUUCCCAAACAUGAAAACUGGGAUCACAUGAUUUGAAAGUGGGAUAACUUCUUCAUCCUAACUCCUAUGAGAUUUAUUCAACUUCCUAGUGACUCUCCACUAAUUUAUGUAUCAAAAUCAAGCUUCUUACAUCGCGAUUCAUCUUGGUUUGAUUAGAAUGACAAAGAAAUUGUCAUUUUCUCAAACAGGAAAACUCGUAUUACCUGAUUUGAAAGUGGGAUAUCUUCUUCAUCCUAACUCCUAUGAGAUUUAUUCA
rnacentral:lncRNA from 1 species